rnacentral:miRNA from 1 species
UCCAAAGGCACAAGAACAUCA